rnacentral:tRNA from 1 species
GGGUCUCUGGUGUAGCUGGUGCGCACGAACGCCUGAAAAGCGUUAGGACCUGGUUCGUUUCCAGGGGGACCCA